CCCAAAUCAAGGAAAACAGAUUCGCAGCAAGCUUGCGCCGCCGAUCCUCCCUUAUCCUCCUGCGCCCCGAGUCCACCCCACCUCCGGUCGCCACCCGCGCUCAGCUGCCGCCGGCCUCCUCUGCAGGAUGCCAUGGCCAUGGACCAAAGCUCGAAUUGGAUGUUGGUCAUAGCUUCCCUCGCGACUGCCUGGAGGUGGGAUGAGCAAAUCCCGAAUCUCCUUACUGCCUGGACUGGAGAGUUGCAUCCAAUCAGGCCUCUUCCUCUCCACUAAGUGCAUCUGAACACAUGAGUUCUUGCACGGUGGAAGCGUGGAGCAUAGGAGCAUACAACUGAUUCGUUGGAACACCUGAUUCCGGUACACGUGCAAUCAUUUAUAGUGUUUGCUUACUGUUUUUUGGGACACCUGAUUCCACUACAUGUGCAAUCAUAUUUGUUAGGUACUUUCUGGAUAAGUACACACCCAGAUUUUGGGGAUUUGUAAUACGAGUGAGUUCAUGUGUUACUAGAAUUGUUGUACCUAAUCUGGUUUUGUUGGGGCUUGGUUUUGCUCUGAAAAAUAUAGGACAUCGGGCAUUAAAUUGUUUAAUCUUGUUCAUAUUUUAGUAUCGCGUUUCACAUGAACUAUUGAAAUUGCUUAUUAGGAUCUAAGUCGCUGUUGUUCAUGUGGAAUUUAUAAUUCAGCAUCUUGAGAACUAUGACAUGUGUAGUCCUGUAAAGUCCAAGAAGAUUUAAAUUCCUAGAACUUAAUCAACUUAUAAAGUCAGAAGAAUAUGGUUCCGGUAAUGUGACCGAGGAGAAAAACUGGCCUCUUAUUCAACCUGCACCAACAUUAAUAAUGGUGAAGUGUUAUAUGAGGAGCCUAUCAUGGUCGGUUUAUCUUUUAUGUAAAUGAUAUGCGCUGCCUAGAACUUAUGCUAUAAAUUAUCAAUACCAUGUUUCUAGAUAGUACCAAAUUUUGUUAAAUUAUGAGUCUUUUCUUUUCUAAAAUCAAUCAUUCAUGCAUUUGCAAUGUGUCAAUCCUGGAUAUACUUUGGAUGUAAUUGCUAUUGUCGAGUUGGAUUAGAUUUGGAUUUAAUUGCUAAUGGUGAGUUGGCUUAGAUUUGCAGUACUACUUUACUAGAAGCGGUAAUACUUUAAUUUACACCAGUUUUUAACAGUACUUGUGCAUUUGAGCCUUUCUACAGAAAUAAAAAUAGACUGCUUCAAUGCUUUAUUAACAAUGCCACCGACCAAGUUUAUUUCUUCUAACCUUAUAAUCCAGUAUUUCAUAUGCCAGUUGACGCAAUGAUUGACAGUCUUCACGGGAAAAAAAUGUCACAUGCCCUUUCAGGAAAACCAACAGAAGAUUUACCGGCGAACCCUCACUUUUAAGGCAAGUUCAUUGGAUGACUACCAUAUCUUUAGGUAACUUUUGGUUGCUCUGAUGAAAUUGGAUGGGAGAUGGCUAUCCAACUUUUAGAAGUCAUGAGUUUUCCCUUGAUUGGAUGGACUGGAUAGGUCUAUAUCCCAUUAAAUAUAAUAUAGCUCGAACAACCAGGGAAAAUCCAAGUGGUACAAAAAAAUUGAGUGAGCUGAGCCAUUUCUUGCCUCCAGUUGUUCAAGUUAAAGAGGACACAUGUCUUUCUCUUAAAAAUGUCUCAUUUGGGCAUUCCUUGAACAACACCUUUUAAAAUCAUAAAAAUGGUCUUGGCCAAAUACUAGGUAGAGUAUUCAACAAUUUUCUACCUUCCAUAAGCUCUUCACAUGCACAUACCUCUGGUUCGUGUAACAUCUAUAAUUGAUGACUUCCAAUGAUUUUACACUGCAGAAUUUAUUAAUUCAGAAUUUCCUUUACUUGCCACGGGUAACACUUAUAUGUUAUAGGGUAGACCACUCCUGGUUGUAUUAAGUCACUAUAUGUCAUUGCAUUUAUACCACUCCCUCUGAUCCAAAGUAAGUGUCGUGGUUUUGUUCAAAUUGGUGUACCAUAUUUGAGAUAAAGGGUAUUUUUGGACCUACGAUGUCAUCAUCUCUUUAUAUUCUUAUCAGCUUCUGGAAGUAUUGUCUGGAAUUAGACCCUAUUGCAAUCAGUUUGUGCACCUGCUCUAUUUUGUAUACAGAGACAAACCUAACUAUAAUGUUGGACAUGCUAUGAGCACUCUAGGUCUAACAACCUGCACUGUAUCUGAAUAGAAGAAAAAAUUGAUUAAGGUAUCUGCAAGUUUUGGGGAAGUCCUCCAAAAGAACAGAGAUCUCAUUCAAACAAAAUUCUCCAUUGAGUCAACUUCGUCGCCAUGAUUUUUUUUAAAUAGAGGAUGGCAUUUGUCAGUAAGGUGAAUAUUUUCAAGAAGGACUUCCCUUUUUAUUUUAUUUUGCUUAUUGAACAUUGCUCGAAGUGCUUACCAGAUAUGCUUACCAGUACCGGUAUUGCUUAUAAGAACUAAGCUACUGUAAGAAGGGUGGCCGUGCUUUUUGGAAUACAAGCAUGCUUGAUUUGUUGUUAACAUUUCUUUGAUAAAUAGGUUUUUAUUGCAAAAUCUGGUGUGCGAGAGGCUAGGGAGAUGUGAUCUAGGAUGUUGAAGAAAAAGAUGGCAACUAAGGUCUUCAAUCCCUAUCAAAAAGUGGGCUCCAAUCAAAAGAAGAAUCAGUAGUUCAAGAUGGAAUUUAUUCUGCUUCAAAGUAGAUGGCAUUUAUUCAUUUUUUGAGCAUUUCUGGUUUUGUGUGUAUAUUGAAUUAUUUUAUGAGUUGUGAUAUUUAUUUCUUAAACAAUAAGAAAUUCAAUGCAAAGGUCCACACUAAUGUGUGAGCAGGCGUCAUAUUGUGUGACCCUUUUAGUUUA